rnacentral:rRNA from 1 species
UCGCCUGUUUAUCAAAAACAUGUCUUUUUGUAAUUUAUUUAAAGUCUGACCUGCCCAUUGAAUAAUUUUAAAAGGCUGCGGUAUUUUGACCGUACAAAGGUAGCAUAAUCAUUAGUUUUUUAAUUGAAAACUGGUAUGAAUGGUUCAACGAAAUAUUUUCUGUUUCAUAAAAAUUUAUAUAGAAAUUAAUUUUUUAGUUAAAAAGCUGAAAUUUAAUUAAAAGACGAGAAGACCCUAUAGAGUUUUAUAUAAAAAUUUUUAUAAUUUAUUUAUAAAAUUUAAAGUUUUAUUAUUUUUUAUAUUUUGUUGGGGUGACAAUAAAAUUUUAUAAUCUUUUAUUAUUUUUUAACAAUAAUUUUUGAAUAAUUGAUCCAUUUUUAGUGAUUAAAAGAUUAAAUUACCUUAGGGAUAACAGCGUAAUUUUUUUGUAGAGUUCUUAUCGAUAAAAAAUUUUGCGACCUCGAUGUUGGAUUAAGAAUAAUUUUAGGUGUAGAAGCUUAUUUAUUGGGUCUGUUCGACCUUUAAAUUCUUACGUGAUCUGA